rnacentral:lncRNA from 1 species
CGCGAAUCGUUUGAGGGAAGGGGCGGGAGUUGGGGAGGUGGAGUUCCCUGUUAAAACGGGCCACUUGAUUAGCAAAGUGGUAGCUGUUAUUUUGGGGGAAUUCCCGUCUUGAUUGCAUUAAGGCGGGUCUCCAUCUUUCCAGGCCAGGAGGAAUGUGGUGGUGGAGGUGGAGGAUUGUGGUAUGUGGUCAGGAGUGAGAAGAAAUAGUAAGGCCGUCCCGGUGAGGGAGAAAUGUAACCUAAAACCUGUCUCUGCUGUUGUUGGAUUGGGUCACCCCUGGUCUAUGGCAUGAAAGUUUUAUUGGGAGGAGAUCUGCUGCAAGAGUCUGAUUGCUUGGGUCAGUGCAACAGGACAGAAUCUAGUCGCUGCAUACCUCCUUCCCUGUCCUCAAUCAGAGACUAGACGCUUUUCGACUGCAGGAACUGGAUUUCGUCUCCUCUUCCACAAUGCCCAUGCAAACAGAUCAAGUCUUCCAUACCAGGGACCAGGCCAAAACCAGACUGCCACUGCCCCUACUUGGGCCCCA